rnacentral:rRNA from 1 species
AUACGGAGGGUGCGAGCGUUAAUCGGAAUUACUGGGCGUAAAGCGUACGUAGGCGGUCCGUUAAGUUAGAUGUGAAAGCCCCGGGCUUAACCUGGGAACUGCAUUUAAAACUGGCGGACUAGAGUUGAGUAGAGGGGAGUGGAAUUUCAGGUGUAGCGGUGAAAUGCGUAGAGAUCUGAAGGAACACCAGUGGCGAAGGCGACUCCCUGGACUCGAACUGACGCUGAGGUACGAAAGCGUGGGUAGCAAACGGGAUUAGAAACCCCAGUAGUCC